rnacentral:rRNA from 1 species
AAUGGAGGAAACUCUGAUGCAGCAACGCCGCGUGGAGGACGAAGGUUUUCGGAUUGUAAACUCCUGUCUUUUGGGACGAUAAUGACGGUACUUGAGGAGGAAGCCCCGGCUAACUACGUGCCAGCAGCCGCGGUAAUACGUAGGGGGCUAGCGUUAUCCGGAUUUACUGGGCGUAAAGGGUGCGUAGGUGGUUUUUNAAGUCAGGAGUGAAAGGCUACGGCUCAACCGUAGUAAGCUCUUGAAACUGGAAAACUUGAGUGCGGAGAGGAAAGUGGAAUUCCUAGUGUAGCGGUGAAAUGCGUAGAUAUUAGGAGGAACACCAGUAGCGAAGGCGGCUUUCUGGUCUGUAACUGACACUGAGGCACGAAAGCGUGGGGAGCAAA